CGCCCAGCGCCCCGCGUCCCGGGCCGUGCAGCCAGCCCUUACCUUGCAGCGCUCGGCUCUCCCCGAUCGCUAAGCUACUUAUCCCGGGAAAGCUCGCGCGGGGCCCGGGAGCGAACCCACAGACAAAAAGUGAAACUUCGGCAGGGCUGGAGCGGCUGCUGACCUCCUCCUGAGCCCCACCCCGGAUUCCCAGCAAGACUCAAAACUUACAGGAUGUUCAAACUGGCAGAGACAAACUUUCAACCCAUUCACUUCACCCGUGAGAAUGCUGAAACUUGCAGAAAAGAAAUGAUUUGCACAGAGCCUACGCUCAACAGAUCCAGGAGCGGGACCCGAGUCCCUGUCUCCCCUCAGGAUUGAUUCCAGCCCGCAGGCAGGGUCCUGACUGCCUCCCUGAGCUGAGAACCAGGUUAGAUAUCAGACUAGGCAGGAGGACCACCCAGUGAAGUGACUUUGUAUUUUCCUUCCAGAGCUAGUUCUGGGAAGGUUCUGGUUGACAGUGAGCCCUGCGGAACAGAGACAUUCAGUUGCUUCAGGGUAACUUCCCCUGUACUGUGCUGAAAGAGGUGAACCCCAGGAGUCAAACAACUACAGCUUGCUCUGUACUUACAGCUUCAAAAAAAAGUAUGCGAACUGGGUGGACUGGUUUGAAUAAAGACAAGCCUGUUCUUGGAA